rnacentral:rRNA from 1 species
GCAAAGAUUUUCGGACGCAGCGCUAUACGACUCCUAAGGGGAAGAUAGAAUGCAGGCCUCGAGCAGACGGGACCGGGAUCCGAUUAGCUCAGUAACACGUGGAUAAUCUGCCCUAUGGUGGAGGAUAACCCCGGGAAACUGGGGAUAAUACUCCAUAAGUCAGGAGUACUGGAAUGUCUCCUAACUGAAAGUUGCGGCGCCAUAGGAUGAAUCUGCGGCCGAUUAGGUAUUUGUUGGGGUAACGGCCCAACAAGCCCGUAAUCGUAACUGGUUGUGGGAGCAAGAGCCCGGAGAUGGAUCUCCCCCACUCGAUUCCAGGCCCUACGGGGCGCAUCUUGCGCGAAAACUUUACAAUGCAGGAAACUGUGAUAAGGGAACCCCGAGUGCCCGUAAACGCGGGCUGUCCCGGUGUUUAAAACACAUCGGAAGAAAGGGCCGGGCAAGACCGGUGCCAGCCGCCGCGGUAAUACCGGCGGCUCGAGUGGUGACCACUUUUUAUUGGGCUUAAAGCGUUCGUAGCUUGAUUUUUAAGUCUCCUUGGAAAUCUCACGGCUUACUGGUGAGGCGUCUAAAGAUACUGGGAAUCUAGGGACCGGGAGAAGUUAGAAGGUACUUCAGGGUAAAUUGAAAUUUUGUAUCCUUGAGGACCACGGAUGCGAGGCAUCUUACAGACGCUCGCAGUGAGACGAGCUGGGGGACGACGAUAAUACCGUGUCAGCGUAACUAUGC